rnacentral:rRNA from 1 species
AGAGUUUGAUCCUGGCUCAGAACGAACGCUGGCGGCGUGCUUAACACAUGCAAGUCGCGUGCGCAGUUGCCGUAGCAAUACGGUGAUGGGCGCACGGCGCACGGGUGCGUAACACGUGGGCAAUCUGCCCUUUGAUGGGGAAUAACCCGCCGAAAGGCGGGCUAAUUCCGCAUAAGAUUCCCGGAACUUCGGUUCUGGGAUUGAAAGCAGCAAUGCGUCGAAGGAGGAGCCCGCGCCCGAUUAGCUAGUUGGUGAGGUAAUGGCUCACCAAGGCUUUGAUCGGUAGCUGGUCUGAGAGGAUGAUCAGCCACACUGGAACUGAGACACGGUCCAGACUCCUACGGGAGGCAGCAGUGGGGAAUCUUGCACAAUGGGCGAAAGCCUGAUGCAGCGACGCCGCGUGGGGGAUGAAGCAUUUCGGUGUGUAAACCCCUUUCGACUGGGAAGAAUACCUCGCAAGAGGGGUGACGGUACCAGUAGAAGAAGCCCCGGCUAACUACGUGCCAGCAGCCGCGGUAAGACGUAGGGGGCCAGCGUUGUUCGGAAUUACUGGGUGUAAAGGGUUCGUAGGCGGUGCGGCAAGUUGGGAGUGAAAUCUCUGGGCUUAACCCAGAGGCUGCUUCCAAAACUGCUGUGCUCGAGUGUGAGAGAGGCUCGUGGAAUUGCAGGUGUAGCGGUGAAAUGCGUAGAUAUCUGCAGGAACACCCGUGGCGAAAGCGGCGAGCUGGAUCACUACUGACGCUGAGGAACGAAAGCUAGGGGAGCAAACAGGAUUAGAUACCCCCGUAGUCC